rnacentral:rRNA from 1 species
CCCACGACUCUCGGCAACGGAUAUCUCGGCUCUCGCAUCGAUGAAGAACGUAGCGAAAUGCGAUACCUGGUGUGAAUUGCAGAAUCCCGCGAACCAUCGAGUCUUUGAACGCAAGUUGCGCCCGAGGCCACUCGGCCGAGGGCACGCCUGCCUGGGCGUCACGC